CUUUUUCCAGAAAAGUCAUGUGGUCCUGCCCCAGAAAUUCCCAAUGCUUCACUGGAGGAAGAAGAUAGAGAACUGGAAUAUGAUUCUGGAAAAAUAAUAAAUUAUAUAUGCAAUCAUGGAUUUGAUACUAAAGAAUCUACUAGAAAAACAUGUACAAGAGGAAAAUGGGUAGGAUCUUUCACUUGUAAAGAUGCAACAUGUCCCACACCCCAUCCAGUUGAAAAUGCUGAAAUUGUUGAAAAUACAAUGAAGAAGUACCUGAA